rnacentral:pre_miRNA from 1 species
AAUAAGACAAUUUUUCAGUUUUUUAUAUAAUGUUUUGACUUUUCGUCUUAUUUGAAUUUUUUGCGAUUAAUACUUUUAUUCUUACUAGAUGAUAAAACAUGAAUAGUACUUUAUGUGUGACUAUUUUUUUUAAAGUUUUUUACAAAUUUUUCAAAUAAGACGAAUGGUCAAACGUUGGACACGGAAAAAC